UACGAAGGGGGCUAGCGUUGCUCGGAAUCACUGGGCGUAAAGCGCACGUAGGCGGCUUCUUAAGUCAGGGGUGAAAUCCUGGAGCUCAACUCCAGAACUGCCCUUGAUACUGAGGAGCUCGAGUCCGGAAGAGGUGAGUGGAACUCCGAGUGUAGAGGUGAAAUUCGUAGAUAUUCGGAAGAACACCAGUGGCGAAGGCGGCUCACUGGUCCGGUACUGACGCCGAGGUGCGAAAGCGUGGGGAGCAAACAGG
rnacentral:rRNA from 1 species